UUUAUCGGAGAGUUUGAUCCUGGCUCAGGACGAACGCUGGCGGCGUGCCUAAUACAUGCAAGUCGAGCGGACAGAUGGGAGCUUGCUCCCUGAUGUUAGCGGCGGACGGGUGAGUAACACGUGGGUAACCUGCCUGUAAGACUGGGAUAACUCCGGGAAACCGGGGCUAAUACCGGAUGGUUGUUUGAACCGCAUGGUUCAGACAUAAAAGGUGGCUUCGGCUACCACUUACAGAUGGACCCGCGGCGCAUUAGCUAGUUGGUGAGGUAACGGCUCACCAAGGCGAC
rnacentral:rRNA from 1 species